rnacentral:rRNA from 1 species
UACGUAGGGUGCGAGCGUUGUCCGGAAUUAUUGGGCGUAAAGGGCGCGUAGGCGGUCUGUCGCGUCGGCUGUGAAAACUCGGGGCUCAACCCCGAGCCUGCAGUCGAUACGGGCAGACUAGAGUGCGGUAGGGGAGACUGGAAUUCCUGGUGUAGCGGUGAAAUGCGCAGAUAUCAGGAGGAACACCGGUGGCGAAGGCGGGUCUCUGGGCCGUAACUGACGCUGAGGAGCGAAAGCGUGGGGAGCGAACAGG